UCUUGGGUUGUAAACCCCUUUUCUCUGGGAAGAAAGUUGUGAAAGCAGCCUGACGGUACCAGAGGAAUCAGCAUCGGCUAACUCCGUGCCAGCAGCCGCGGUAAGACGGAGGAUGCAAGCGUUAUCCGGAAUGAUUGGGCGUAAAGCGUCCGCAGGUGGCAGUUCAAGUCUGCUGUCAAAGACCGGGGCUCAACCUCGGAAAGGCAGUGGAAACUGAACAGCUAGAGUAUGGUAGGGGCAAAGGGAAUUCCUGGUGUAGCGGUGAAAUGCGUAGAGAUCAGGAAGAACAUCGGUGGCGAAGGCGCU
rnacentral:rRNA from 1 species